AUGGCCGCCAUGAAGAAGAUCGUGGUGAAGCUGGAACUGCACUGCGACGGGAAGAAGCAGAAGGCGAUCAAGACCGUCUCCACUCUCUGUGGUAUCGACCAGAUCGUCAUGGACAUGAAGGACGGCCAGAUGACGGUCGUGGGGACGGUCGACCCCGUCGACGUCGUCCACAAGCUGCGCAAGCGCUUCUGCUCGGUGCGGAUGGUCUCCGUCGGCCCGGCCAAGGAGGAGGGGAAGAAGAACAAUGAGGGCGGCGGGGACAAGAAGGUCGACAACACGAAGGGCGCGUGCACGCCCAUCCCAGUGUGCCAGCCGUGCUACCCGGCGCACUGGUACCCGCCGCCUCACCACCCGCAGCCGUGCUACUGCUACGUCGUCCACACCGAGGAGCACCCCCACGCGUGCGUCAUCUGCUGA
rnacentral:rRNA from 1 species